UCGCCAACAAACAACUCCACCGCCAGCUCCCCACCCAACGGGGGCACCUCCAGACUGGUAACCAUGGCAGAGACGCCCUUCUCGCCCUUAGAGGGCAGCCUGUCCCGCGGAUUCCCGCGCUUCCACCACUUCCCCUUCCGCCGAAAGCUCCGGACAAAACCGCGAGAGCAGCUCAGGGACGCCGGCUCACUCACCGGCACCCGAGGAAGACGUGGUUGGCCCAGGCCAUGGAAAAGGAGAUGAGCUGCUGCAGCUGCCGACUGCGGGUCCCGCUCUCGGCGUCGGCGGCCUCCUCCGGGUGAGCGGAGGCAGCGCCGCCGGCGGGGGCCAGGUCCCCGGCGUUGCGGAGCAGGAACUCGCGGCGGUGGCGCCAGUGUUUGUCGGUCUCGCCGUCGGAGCGCAGCGUCUCCACCCAGGCGGCCACCCGCGGGUUCUGGCUCAGGUACUCCGACACCUCCUGCGCCAUGUUGGGCCUGCGGGUCGCGUAAGUCGCGAUCUGGACGCUGCGCCGAGGCUAGGAGUUGCGGGGCGAGCGGCCCUGUCACUGCGGCCUGCACCGGCGGCCCACCACAGAACGCCCCUCGAGAAGCGCAAACACCAAACAACAGCGCCGGGAGCAGCUGAACCGCCCACUUCCGCCCGCCGCCGGCUCCUUCCCUUUUAUAACCUCGCUGCCGCCGAGCGCCCGCGCGUCCUUCCGGUGCGAGCCGGCUCUCCCAGGACGCUUUGCGGCGCCCGAGCCGCCGCGGCGCUGCGGCCCCUGCGGCGGGGGUAGGGGAGGCGGGGCGAGAUGAAGGGUUCGCGCGCCUGCCGUUCCGCCAGGGAGGGCCGCUAGUGGGUUCGCCCCGGGCGCCCUCGGCUUCGGCGCCGGCCCCAGCGUUCCGACUGGGCUUUGUGACGCCACGCGCUCCCGCGCCGGGCCCGCUGCUCCGGGGGUUGGCGGAGGACAGCGGGCUCCGGGGCGGCCGGGUGGGGCAGGCCGAGUCCUCGCGUGCCGCGCGCGUCCCCGCGGACUCGAGCCGCCAUCCGGCCGCGAGGUCUGGGCGCCUCGGCCCGAGGUCGCUGGUUUCGAGCGGGGCCAAAGUAGACAAAGCUCGCCUCCAUUUUUUCUGAUUAUGCAGAAAAUCGAAUGUAGACAAGCGAGGCAUUCUGAGGUCGUCCAGUCUCGGGGCAUUUAGGAAUGUGCAGGUGUAUAUUAGCUUAAAAGUAUUAUACUAAUAAUAAAGGUUGACUUUGCAUAUGAAGAUUCGGGGAAUAGACCAUGGACCACAAAGUUAAGAAUGAUAGCAUAUAUUCUACUAGGAAAAAAAAAAAAAAAGCCUUCUCACCAUAUGCAGACAAAUUCUCAGACUGGAGGGAGGGAGAAUUCAGAGAGAAAAGGCUAUAUCUCAGUGCGGGAAUGCCACGUGAGUCAACAAGGGCUGGAGGCCCAACUUUGGUUUUUUGGACACUACAGAUAACGCCAGCAGUUCUCGUGUGACCCUAGAGAUGGGAGGAGACCCAAACAUGACUGAGAUUGAAUUUCUCAUCACACAGGCAAGUUGACUUAAUAUGACUUAGAAACUUCAAAAUGUGGCAUUUUUUAAAUUUUUGCUACUUGUUUUAGAGUAAAAUACAUAACCAUUAGCCAUAUAUUAUCUCAUUAAAACUCACAAUAAUCCUACGAAGUUGGUAUUACUGUCAUAAC